rnacentral:rRNA from 1 species
AUAGCUUGCUAUUUUGCUGACGAGUGGCGGACGGGUGAGUAAUGCUUGGGAAUAUGCCUUAUGGUGGGGGACAACAGUUGGAAACGACUGCUAAUACCGCAUAACAUCUCCGGAUCAAAGUGGGGGACCUUCGGGCCUCACGCCAUAAGAGUAGCCCAAGUGGGAUUAGCUAGUUGGUAAGGUAAUGGCUUACCAAGGCGACGAUCCCUAGUUGGUCUUAGAGGAUGACCAGCCACACUGGAACUGAGACACGGUCCAGACUCCUACGGGAGGCAGCAGUGGGGAAUAUUGCACAAUGGGCGCAAGCCUGAUGCAGCCAUGCCGCGUGUGUGAAGAAGGCUUUCGGGUUGUAAAGCACUUUCAGCGAGGAGGAAAGGUUGUACUUUAAUAGAGUGCAGCUGUGACGUUACUCGCAGAAGAAGCACCGGCUAACUCCGUGCCAGCAGCCGCGGUAAUACGGAGGGUGCGAGCGUUAAUCGGAAUUACUGGGCGUAAAGCGCGCGUAGGCGGUUAAUUAAGUCAGAUGUGAAAUCCCAGGGCUCAACCUUGGAACUGCAUUUGAAACUGGUUAACUAGAGUUUUGUAGAGGGUGGUAGAAUUUCAGGUGUAGCGGUGAAAUGCGUAGAGAUCUGAAGGAAUACCAGUGGCGAAGGCGGCCACCUGGACAAAGACUGACGCUGAGGCGCGAAGGCGUGGGGAGCAAACGGGAUUAGAUACCCCGGUAGUCCACGCAGUAAACGAUGUCUAUUAGAAUUUUGUGGCUAUAUGCCGUGGGAUUCAAAGCUAACGCAUUAAAUAGACCGCCUGGGGAGUACGGCCGCAAGGUUAAAACUCAAAUGAAUUGACGGGGGCCCGCACAAGCGGUGGAGCAUGUGGUUUAAUUCGA